rnacentral:rRNA from 1 species
UACGUAGGGUGCAAGCGUUAAUCGGAAUUACUGGGCGUAAAGCGUGCGCAGGCGGUUUUGUAAGCCGGAUGUGAAAUCCCCGGGCUUAACCUGGGAAUGGCAUUCGGGACUGCAAGGCUGGAGUGCGGCAGAGGAGACUGGAAUUCCUGGUGUAGCAGUGAAAUGCGUAGAUAUCAGGAGGAACACCGAUGGCGAAGGCAGGUCUCUGGGCUGACACUGACGCUCAUGCACGAAAGCGUGGGGAGCAAACAGG